UGGGGAAUUUUGGACAAUGGGCGCAAGCCUGAUCCAGCCAUGCCGCGUGCGGGAAGAAGGCCUUCGGGUUGUAAACCGCUUUUGUCAGGGAAGAAAUCUUCUGAGUUAAUACCUCGGGAGGAUGACGGUACCUGAAGAAUAAGCACCGGCUAACUACGUGCCAGCAGCCGCGGUAAUACGUAGGGUGCAAGCGUUAAUCGGAAUUACUGGGCGUAAAGCGUGCGCAGGCGGUUUUGUAAGACAGAGGUGAAAUCCCCGGGCUCAACCUGGGAACUGCCUUUGUGACUGCAAGGCUUGAGUGCGGCAGAGGGGGAUGGAAUUCCGCGUGUAGCAGUGAAAUGCGUAGAUAUGCGGAGGAACACCAAUGGCGAAGGCAAUCCCCUGGGCCUGCACUGACGCUCAUGCACGAAAGCGUGGGGAGCAAACAGGAUUAGAUACCCUGGUAGUCCACGCCCUAAACGAUGUCAACUGGUUGUUGGGAAGGUUCCUUCUCAGUAACGUAGCUAACGCGUGAAGUUGACCGCCUGGGGAGUACGGCCGCAAGGUUG
rnacentral:rRNA from 1 species